GCAGAUUGGCAAAAUCAUCAUAUAUUUGAUGUAGGCAUUUUUAAAGAAGAAGAAGUAUUUAUAGAAAGUAAGUUACGCAUAUGUUAGCGAAUAUGUCAUUGGCGAUGUCGUGGUAGACGUACUUUAAUAUUUGUACUAAGAUUGAUUUGAUUAUUUAAGAAAAAAAAAAUCCUACCCUGAUGAUUUUUUUAAGAUUUUUUAAUUAAAACUUCUAAAUAAAUCUAAGAAGGCAAGUUGAUUUUUUUUAGGAAACCGCUUUGGUUUUCUUAUUACUUGGUUAAACAUUUGUAAAAAACUGUAGAUUAGCUUAAUUAUUUUGUUAUUUUUUUCUCUUUUUUUAGAACGAUUACUAAUUAUAUUAACAAACCUUAUCUACUUAAUCAAUUUUAUAAUAAUGUGUUUUGACAAUGUCCUUUCCUCUUAAUUAAUGUCAGAUGUUGUAUUAAUAAUCGUACAGUUUUUUUUAUAUUUGGGGACAAUCUUACACAAAUCGAUCUAGCCCCAAACUAAGCAAAGCUUGUACUAUGGGGCGACGAUAUAUAUACGUAUAAAGAUAAAUACAUACUUAUAUACAUAGAAAACACCCAUGGCUUAGGAACAAAUAUCUGUGUUCAUCACACAAAUAAAUUACCGGGAUUCAAACCCGGGACCAUCAGCUUCAUAGGCAGGGCCAUUACCUACCCACUACGCUAGACCGGUCGACAGUGAUGAUCGCAUUGUACCAUUGACAGAACAAUACAACUAUUGCUAUAGACAAUUGACGAUACAAGCGCAAAAAAUAGGAAAUUGGUAACGAGUGGCGAUAAAUUAAAACACGACCGCAAGUGUGUUGAAAAACGUCGUAUGAAACGCAUGCAUUAGUCAUUACAGACAUCGGCUUUCUUAUUGCGCGCUCGCUUACAGCUCGCGCGCACAAUAUCGCCUCGUGUGUAAUGACCAACUUAGCACACUUGUAUCAUAAUGUACUAUUAGAGUUACUCCUUUUGUUUUGCUGAUGUGAUAUUUUUAGUUUUAAAGUGUUUAGUGAGUACCUAAGUUUUUUUUUGUAACUGUAGUGGCGCGGUAUGUAGAAGUUUUUUACAAUAAAUGUAUUUAUAUUCUAUUCUAUUCUUAAAAAUAUUUCUUAUGACGGGCACCGCACGCUAAGGUGUCAUUUUAAUGUGCUCAUAUUAACACAAUAUUCAAAUGAUAAUAUAAUUUUUCAUAUUGAUCCGAUUCGCCCUAUGACCCGAUUCGCCUGGGUCUACCCUAGUAAUAUAAAAAAAACUCUAAAUUCACCCUAAUGUCGAUGACCUCCCAACACGCUCCCAUUUUAUAUACCAAUUCCAUCUCAUUUGACGAAUAAAAAUAGCAAUGUUAUCAAAUUCAGAGCACGCGUACUUCAUCUCAUUCCCCAUGUGAGCGCCCGCACGGACGGACGUGGGCACGUAAACAUAACAAUAAACAAACGUGAACAAUAUAAACAAAUCAUGUUAACAAUCGUGUUUACACAGUGAAGUGACGUGACGUUGACACAAUGAACCGUACGGUCCUUCUCGCCCUGUGCGUCACAAUCCUAGCAACCAGCGUCACUGGCUACCGCCUCCUGCCAUGGCACGGGUCCCUCCAACCCGACACCCACACGCACACAUCGGAGACUGCACAUAGUACACCGAACCGCAAUGUGUCGGAUGACUACAGAAAGUAUAGUUACCUAAUAACUACAUACUUAUGACACAAGGCAGAUGGCUAGAUUUAAAUAUGUGAGACUAUCAAAGUUUCUCAACUGCAACAUGGAGCGUAUAAUGGCUUCUCUUAACGAUGGCCUAUCAUGCUGGCCCAUUAAGAUGCGCCAGCGUUUAGAUAGGGUAGUGGUGUCGGAUGGCUAAUGGCGCGGCGGGAAGGCGAUGGGAUGGCCACGUUGUCGGUUUUUUGUCCGCACUUCAAAGGUAGUGGGCCAGCAGUGCGUGCGCAUCUACAUGUGGCCCAUUCCAUAGUGUGUGCACUCAACCAUCGCAUGGCCAUCCCGCUGGUCCAGCGCUGGGCCAUCGUAUAGAGGAGCCAUGACCAUAGCUUGGCCAUCUCGCUGGUCUAUAAGGCAACUCGCCACCUCGCACAGCGCUGCCGCAUUCAUUCAGUAGGAAUGCUAAAGAAUAUUCUUGAAGUAAAUGCUUUUAAUGCCCGUACUGUUCCCUACCUGGCCCAAACGUUCAAAAUAUGCCGGCUGCGUUGCCACACUGAAUGGCUAGGAAUAUUUGGAGUUCUCCCGUACAAUCGCGAACUUUCUGAAGAUUUCCUUUUCUGUGACUUAUGGUCAAAAAUAUGCACAGAAUAAUAAUUGCCUGCUUUAAACGCAGAAGAAAAAUUCGCAAGAAAUGAAGUAACUAUGGGACAGCUCCAUUUGUUGGACUAGAUAAGAUCCAGCCCAGAGGUCGCAGCCUCUGUCCCUCAACCGGCGUCCAAUCUCCCUAACCGGCUUCUUGGCCUCGGCGCACCAUGGCCCAGCCGUUUCGACAGCGACCGGAAUAAAGUCAUACACUGGUCCAAGGUUCGCGUAUUUGCCGUGCUUGAAUUUAGCAGCAGCCUCAGCCGCUGCACCUGCCUUCUUAGUUGUGUGUCUGACACUCAUGUGGCUUCCCACAGUAGGUAUUUAGUACCGGGGCGGGAGUGUUUUAACAUUAUUCAGUUGUGUCCUCUAGUGUAACUGAAAAAUAUCCAGAAAAAAUAAGUUAUUGGUGUGAACAAGAGCUGGUGUAUUAUAAAAUCGUGUGAAUGCAAUUCACUUAGUUCUGCUCGCGGUAAACACUUUACGAAAUGUUCGCACAAUUCUGCUGCCUACUCGUAUACCGUAAAACGGGGUGGCUUUGAAAUGCAGGGGUGACUUUGAAAUUUCAGUUUUUACACUAUAAUAUAUUUUUGUGCGAGACUUUAAGUAGGUAAACAUCAAUAUACUUAUAGUAAUCUAACUAGUUACCCGAACACUUUCAGUAAAUAAUAAAUAAUGGCAAUUUAGUGGCGAUUUUAAAACUAUCAAUGUAACCCCAAAUUUUCCUAAAGCCACCCCGUUUUACUGUACUAAAGUAAUGCUACUCGUAUAUACCUAAGUAUGAUUUAAAAUUUUGUUAGUACAGUCAGCAUCAAAAGUAACGGAAGAGACUAUGCAAAGUACACGUCUCUAUAUUAUGUAACUAUUAGAGUACCAGCUAUUGCCUAUAUAAUAUAUGUGUUUACUAUAGAAAUAUAUCACAUAACUAUGAAAUUAUUAGACGAUGAGACUUAUGAAGCAUUUAUUCUAUUCGCUAAUAUUGAUGUUGACUGUACCUAUAAGGUAUUGUAUUUUGGUUUAGGACUGAUGGUCUGAUGUCGGACAGGUGAUGUUUAGAUACAUACUUGUAAACUACAUAAUCUAUAAUAUAGGUAGGUACACACACAUUAAACAAAAAACAAAACAACUAACUUAUCUAUAAAAUAUAACUAAACUAAAACUAAAAACUAAUGCUAAUGCGUUGUGCGAGAAAGCUGCCAGUUCUUCGGUCACCAGUGAAAUCGAUUAGCAUCGCAAUACAGCGGGGAAAUGCUGCCAGCAUCCUCGGCACAGCCAAAGGGGCCAAAUUUUUUAGACGUAGUUUAGUUUUUUUAGUAUUCGUUUUUAGUCUUCUAAAUUUAUACACAACAUUGUAGAUACAUUAGUUGUAUACCUACAGCAGGUCCUAGCUCUCAUUCCUCAUUUUCUCAUGAUUUCAUUGUACAAAUUUCGUAUGUAACAUAUAAGAAAACUCACCUUUUGAACUGUUAACGAUGAAUGAACCAACCAAACCUAUGGAAGGUAGGAGGUAAGGAAAUAAAUCUCCAUGUACCAAAAAGUGUCAUCAAAAAACCUAGAAUACUUGAACAAAAAAAUCAAAUCAUAGACAGCGCACUUCACUCCGUCAAUAACGUCUAGGUUCUUAGCUACUCUAGCGCUACUCUGGAGAGAUUUGGAACUAUUAUUUAUAGCUGACAGCUGGACACUUGCAACAAUUCUGCCUAAGGAGUUUCUGUUCCUUGCCUCUACCUUCCAUACCAAUAACGUCUAAGUUCAUGUCAUGUCCUUGUGGUAUCCUAGCACCACUCGAAGUUCGAACUAUUAUUUACAGCUGCCAGCUGGACACUUUUGCAACAGUUCUCCCAUAAGAGAUUGUUCUUCUACUUUCUACCCUUCAUACCCUUAGGAUCUUGUAUUAUUGUCACUAUGACGUAUGACGUGUGUGUGAAGGUACUAAGUACCAUAAAAAUCAAAUUCUUUGACCGUAUCGUACGGUGCCAUAUAUCUAUAGAAACCGUGCGCGAUUGAUGGUUUGUCAUCUUGUGGGCUGAAUGGGAAACAUAAACAUGCCGUCAAAAGUGCAUGUCGACUUUAUCAAUAAAUUCAUUUAUCAUUUCUCCAUGCAAUUUCGCAGCUCACUGUACAUUGACACUUCACGCCAAAGCAAGUAUCGUUAAAGCAUCUACCGUUCUCUUACUUUUUUUUGUGCGUAGCAGAUUCUGCCAUCUCGUAGGCAACAUUGGAAGUAUAAACUUCACAUUUACACCUCGCGCCAAAAAUCUGACGUCUCAUGUGUUUAUGCGCGCUCCCUAUGUUAUGUGGUCACCGAAUUGUGAAAUAUCAAUAACUUUUGACAACCACGGUAUGUACGGAUCUGCAAAGCUCUAUCGGCCCGAUUCGAAGACUGAGAUACGAUAACGAUAAGUUCUGGUUUAGAUAAGUUCUCAUUUAGAUAUCGUAUAAUUAACAGAAGCAGCUCGAUUCGGGCAACCAAUGUCACUUUGACGAUAGAAAAAUCGUAGAUAGGUAGAUCUUAUUGAGAUCACAGCGGAAUCGAAAUAAACUUCAAUUUUGACAUGUCGUUUAGAUAUCGGUCUUUUAAAGAUCUUAAACGUGUCUUAAUCAUUCUUCGAAUCGGGCCGUAUCUACAUGGCCUUUGACAUUCGAAGCACGAAAUUGUCUUAGACUUUACACAUCUUAUAUGUACAUACAAUAAAUAUAUAGAGUUUCUUAUAAGUAAGAUUAUUUAUCUUUAUCUUAAAUCUACAGAAUAGUUACCAUUAUAAUAAUAAGCCUGUGAAAAUAGUUAAUUAAGAUUAUGUACAAUUUGAUAUUUAUAUUUUUAAUAGACAAACCAA